rnacentral:lncRNA from 1 species
GGCUGAUGCUGGGUAUGCUGCGAGGCCAGGGAUAUUACCUCCUUAUCGUGGUGUGCGCUACCACCUAAAUGAAUUUGCUGGAGACCGUGACCCAACUACCCCAAAAGAAUUGUUCAACCACCGCCAUUCAUCACUUAGGACCACAGUUGAACGGGCAUUUGGGACUCUUAAGAGUUGCUUCAAGAUUCUUACUCAAAGGCCCUUCAUACCUUUGAAAUCUCAGAUUAAAGUGGUAGUUGCUUGUUGUGCUUUGCACAAUUGGAUAUUAGAAAAUGGUCCAUAUGAUUAUGUUGUGGAUGAGGCGACAUGGUAUGACAAUCUCCCUACGAGUACUGGGCGGGUUCGUGAUCAAGAGGCUGACAUAUGUGAGUGGGCUGCCAAGCAAGAUUUAAUCGCUCAGCAAAUGUGGACAGAUAGAGAGAGUGCACGUGACAAUGAGGCUGAUGCUAUCCCAGCUUAGUAUCUUUGAUGUAUUUCCACGUGAUGGAACAUUUGAAGGAUGUACUGUACCUUUGAUGUAUUUCCAUGUGAGGGAACAUUUGAAGGAUGUACUGUACCUUUGAUGUAUUUCCAUGUGAGGGAACAUUUGAAGGAUGUGAUGUACCUUUGAUGUAUUUCCAUGCGAGGGAAAAAUUGAACGAUGUAGUGUUUCUAUUUUAAUGACUUUGUGUAAAUUAUUGUAUCCUCGUAAUAUUGUUUGACUUAUUUCAAUUUAAUCUAGUCUCUCUGUCCUAUUAAAUAGGUUUAGUUCUGUCCUACUGUAAG